AAAGAUUAGGAUAUAAAAUUUCUGUAGAUUAUCCAACACUUGAUUUGUGUCGGUUUAUAUGGUAGUAGCAGUGCUCAAUUACAGUAAUUCUUCCAAAUUUGUUGCCAAUUUCUCAAAUUGUUUCAUUGUCCGUCUGGAAAAUGGCCACCCUUACAACCUCCAAGUUGCCAACAUUCUUUGCCCCUACAAGCUUCAACAAAACAGCCCGGAUUCACUCUACUCCUAUUCUUGGUAAGACAUUAUCUUAAACUUGUUUUAGAUAAAGUGCUAUGCAUUUUCUGGAAUUGUAUACUUUAUAUGUAAACUUAAUAUAUGUAAACUUUUACUUACAUUUGGAAUUGUUUUGUUGAUAUAUAGGGUUGCCAGUGAUGGCAAGAAGAGGGUGCAGGGUUAGAUGCAGCAUGGAAGAGAAGAGGCAAGAAUCAACAACGGCAUAAACACAAGCAUGGUUUUGUCGAUGAUGGCAGCAGCAGCAACAAUGGCAGGACCAGCAGUG
rnacentral:misc_RNA from 1 species